rnacentral:rRNA from 1 species
UACGGGGGGGGCAAGCGUUGUUCGGAAUUACUGGGCGUAAAGGGCUCGUAGGCGGCCAACUAAGUCAGACGUGAAAUCCCUCGGCUUAACCGGGGAACUGCGUCUGAUACUGGAUGGCUUGAGGUUGGGAGAGGGAUGCGGAAUUCCAGGUGUAGCGGUGAAAUGCGUAGAUAUCUGGAGGAACACGGUGGCGAAGGCGGCAUCCUGGACCGAAUUCUGACGCUGAGGAGCGAAAGCCAGGGGAGCAAA